rfam:Cajanus cajan CcLG08_906, whole genome shotgun sequence.
UCCUUAAUAGCUCAAUGGUAAAAUUAUUGACUACUAAUGGAUUGGUCGGUCGUAGGUUCAAGUCCUACUUGUGGAA